AAAAUUGAUCUUAAAACCUUCCAGAAAUCUUGUAACCUGAAUAAAAGUAAAGAAGAAACUGAUUUCAUGGUAGUACAACAACCAUCACUAACUAGUGAAUGUGGAAAAGAUGAUUUCUUAUUUGGUAGCUGCACUGGUAAAGAUAUGGCCACCUGUGAUAUCAACAGUGAAAGAUGAAAAAGGUAAAAAAGGAAAAAACAAUGAAAGCCUAAUGAGUACAUUGAAAAAGGCAGCUUUCUGCAAAACAAAAGCAGAACAGCAAGGGGAGCACACCCUAUGGGAGUUCUGCCAGAUGAGGAUACUUUUUCUCUCAGCACCAACAGUCUUUAAAGAUGUGAGAGCUCAAAGACCAAUAAGGUCCACUUCCCUCCACAAUCCUCACUGUAGUCCUCUCCUUGGCUUACAAACUAAGGAGACACGUAUCAAAACGGAGAUGAGACGAAGAGACUCAAAGCCUUGGUUCAUUCUUCCAAUCCAAGUCUGGCACGGAUUUUCACUAUCUUCAGCCUGAAGCUGCAUACAAAGAACAAAGUAAAGAGUUCAAAAUUUCAGAAUGGAGACUUGCAUCUUCACUUCAAGGAACAUGUGCCUGUACUUAUUGGACUUAUGCCUCAAGACUAUAUUCAGUAUUCUAUGCCUUUAGAUGAGAGGCUUUAUCCUUUGCAAGGGUGUCAUGCUAUUGUCUGGACAGUUCUCCCAUGGAAGUGAGUGUUUCUGGGAAUUCUAUCCCCAAAGCUGAGAAUCGGGUAGAGCAGGACCUGGUCGUUGCUCCAGAGAUCUUUGUGGAUCCAUCUCUGAAUGGCUUGUUCAUUGGUACCUGUAAGGAGUUACAAUGCAGAGCCCAAGAGCAAGCCAUGAAGACAUUCCUGAAGACACUUUCAUCAUUACUACCUCCAAUACAGAAUCUAAAGGAACUUCUGUGGACUCACAGGUGCAGUUGUCUAUGUGUGUGUCUGAAAGUACCCACUGUCAUUUGAAUUCUAAUCCUGACUGUCCUCCUGGGGUUGCAAGAGUUGAUGAUUCUGUCCAAAGUAGUGACACUAUGGUUGUGACAAGCCUUACAGAGGAGCUGAAAAAACCUGCAAAAUAAUAAUGGUGCUGGGGGCAAUCAUACACUGACAGGCAGAAGAAAAGUGAGCAAAUGUGCUAGAUGGUUUUUUUCUUGUCCCAGAUAGCCAUAAUGACUGUUAUCUUUCAAGCUCAAGCUUUUGCUCCCAUGGUAAAACACUUCACACUAGAAUUGAACACUCGAAUGGUAGGUUUUGCUUUUAUGAGCAACCAGAUGUGAAAGGACAAUUAGUUGAUCUAAUUGAACAUUCAACCAGGGACUCUGGAAAAUAGAGUUUUUUCUUAUUGAAGGUCUCGGUUACCUGGAUCUGCAAUUUACCCUGUAAGACUGACCAAUCCAAUACUACAAUUCAUACAGUUUUGUUCUUUGCAGCACCCAUGACAUUUGUUUUAUGUCAGCAUACCAGAAUAGACUUAUUUCAAAAACUGCCUUUGCCAAACAAAAUGAAGGCUUAUUUACAGGAGAAGCAUUGCUAA
rnacentral:lncRNA from 1 species